rnacentral:pre_miRNA from 1 species
UACGAUGGAGUAUUGAAAGCCACCAACGGGGACAUAGUCAUACAGAAAAUAUUGUGUUAAAUCGCAAAUGUUAACUGUAAGACUGUGUCUCUAUUGAUGUUGGCACACAUCAACCAUA